GGACGUGAGGGUGAUCUGGCCGCGACAUCUGUCACCCCAUGGAUCUCCAGGGUUGAUCCGGCUGAUCUGGCUGGCUAGAUGGGUGUCCCCGUCCUCCCUCACUGCUCCAUGUGCGUCCCUCCCAAAGCUGCGUGCUCGGUCGAAGAGGACGACCUUCCCCACUAGAGGAGGACCGGUCUUCGGUCAAGGGUCUACGAGUGCUGUGCUCCCCCGCUAGAACCUCCAAACAAGCUCUCAAAAUGAUUUGUCCUCCUAAAGUGAAUGUCAUGUUGGAUACAAGUGUGACUGCAUCUGAUGGGACCU
rnacentral:snRNA from 1 species